GAAAUUCUUUCCUGUUAGGGUGGUGAGGCACUGGAAUAGGUUACCCAAGGAGGUUGUGAAUGCUCCAUCGCUGGCAGCGUUGGACAAAGCCUUGGAUGGCAUGGUUUAGUGUGAGGUGUCCCUGCCCAUGACAGGGGGGUUGGACCUAGAUGAUCUUAAGGUCCUUUCCAACCCUAACUAUUCUAUGAUUCU